rnacentral:rRNA from 1 species
UACGUAGGGGGCAAGCGUUGUCCGGAUUUAUUGGGCGUAAAGAGCGUGUAGGCGGUCCGAUAAGUCGGCUGUGAAAGUCAGGGGCUCAACCCUUGAAAGCCGGCCGAUACUGUCGGACUAGAGUCCGGAAGAGGCAAGUGGAAUUCCCGGUGUAGCGGUGAAAUGCGCAGAUAUCGGGAGGAACACCAACGGCGAAGGCAGCUCGCUGGGACGGUACUGACGCUGAGACGCGAAAGCGUGGGGAGCGAACAGG